AGAGUUUGAUCCUGGCUCAGAUUGAACGCUGGCGGCAUGCUUUACACAUGCAAGUCGAACGGCAGCACGGGUGCUUGCACCUGGUGGCGGGUGGCGAACGGGUGAGUAAUGCACCGGAACGUACCCAGUAAUGGGGGAUAACACAUCGAAAGAUGUGCUAAUACCGCAUACGCCCUGAGGGGGAAAGCGGGGGAUCGUAAGACCUCGCGUUAUUGGAGCGGCCGAUGCCGGAUUAGCUAGUUGGUGAGGUAAGAGCUCACCAAGGCGACGAUCCGUAGCUGGUCUGAGAGGACGACCAGCCACACUGGGACUGAGACACGGCCCAGACUCCUACGGGAGGCAGCAGUGGGGAAUUUUGGACAAUGGGCGCAAGCCUGAUCCAGCCAUGCCGCGUGAGUGAAGAAGGCCUUCGGGUUGUAAAGCUCUUUCGCAAGGAAAGAAAACUUAUCUACUAA
rnacentral:rRNA from 1 species